rnacentral:rRNA from 1 species
GACGAACGCUGGCGGCGUGCUUAACACAUGCAAGUCGAACGAAGAGCGAUGGAAGCUUGCUUCUAUCAAUUUUAGUGGCGAACGGGUGAGUAACGCGUAAUCAACCUGCCCUUCAGAGGGGGACAACAGUUGGAAACGACUGCUAAUACCGCAUACGAUUUAAUCUCGGCAUCGAGGAUAGAUGAAAGGUGGCCUCUACAUGUAAGCUAUCACUGAAGGAGGGGAUUGCGUCUGAUUAGCUAGUUGGAGGGGUAACGGCCCACCAAGGCGAUGAUCAGUAGCCGGUCUGAGAGGAUGAACGGCCUCAUUGGGACUGAGACACGGCCCAGACUCCUACGGGAGGCAGCAGUGGGGAAUCUUCCGCAAUGGACGAAAGUCUGACGGAGCAACGCCGCGUGAGUGAUGACGGCCUUCGGGUUGUAAAGCUCUGUUAAUCGGGACGAAAGGCCUUCUUGCGAAUAGUGAGAAGG